UACAGAGGCCUCGAGCGUUAGGCGGAAUCACUGGGCUUAAAGCGUGUGUAGGCGGACUUCUAAGUACCUUGUGAAAUCCCACGGCUUACCCGUGGAACUGCUCGGUAUACUGGUUGUCUUGAGCCACCUAGGGGCGAGUGGAACAAAUGGUGGAGCGGUGAAAUGCGUAGAUAUCAUUUGGAACGCCAAUGGUGAAAACAGCUCGCUGGGGGUGCACUGACACUGAGACACGAAAGCCAGGGGAGCGAACGGG
rnacentral:rRNA from 1 species